GCCUUCAGGAGCUGUGUUAGGGUGGGGACCCCAUGAUUGAAUCUUAGUGGGUUUAUAAGGACGGGGAAUGAGACAGACAGGGCCACAAGAACACACAUAUGCUCACUUCUGCCCUCCGCCAGGUUUCUGGACAGCAGGAAGACCCUUAGCAGAUGUAGCCCUUAGACUCUGGAUCUCAACAGCUUCAGAUUUCCCUGUACCAAAUAUUUGUGACUCACUUCACCUCUCUUUGAAGCCCUGAGAGCUGGCCCUGGAACUGUGGUAGGACUGGAAGAUCUGGCAACACCAAGUUUACAAUCGCGCUCUCAGUAAGGGAGGUGAGCUGUGUCAACUUUCAUGGACAGAGCCCACUUUACAUUUCUAGAGUCUAGAAGUCUGAAAUCAAGGUGUCACCAAAGUUGGAUCCUUCUGAAGGCCGAUGGUCCUGGGUCACUUCAGUGGAUGCAGCUAAGGGAAGGGGAGAGCCAGCGUGGAUGACGGCGCACCGGCCAGCUCACUGGGGCACAGCCUGGCUUUUCUGCCUUGGCCA